UGGACUACCAUGGCAGUAACGGGUAACGAAGAAUUAGGGUUCGAUUUCGGAGAGGGAGCAUGAGAAACGGCUACCACAUCUAAGGAAGGCAGCAGGCGCGUAAAUUACCCAAUCCUGACUCAGGGAGGUAGUGACAAGAAAUAGCAAACCGGGAACCUCAUGGUUUCACGGUAUUGCAAUGAGAACAAUUUAAAACCCUUAGCGAGAAUCAAGUGGAGGACAAGUCUGGUGCCAGCACCCGCGGUAAUUCAGCUCCACUAGCGUAUAUUAAAGUUGUUGCAGUUAAAAAGCUCGUAGUUGAACCUCUGUCUGGGGCUAGUUUUGGCUUUGGUCAGGCUAGUUCUAGGCAUCCGCCUACAAGACUUAGAGGGCAUUCAGUUGUUCACUAGGAGGAGUAGGCAUUUUACUCUGAAAAAAUUAGAGUGUUUAAGGCAGGCAAUCGCCCGCAUAUAUUAGCAUGGAAUAAUAGAAUAGGACACUUUUCCAUUUCGUUGGUUAUUGGAAUCGUGUAAUGAUUAAUAGGGACAGUUGUGGGCAUUUGUAUUUAAUUGUCAGAGGUGAAAUUCUUGGAUUUAUUAAAGACAAACUAACGCGAAAGCAUUUGCCAAGGAUGUUUUCAUUAAUCAAGAACGAAAGUUAGGGGAUCAAAGACGAUCAGAUACCGUCCUAGUCUUAACUAUAAACUAUUCCGACUCAAUGUUUGACUGGCUUAUAUAACCAGUUGAGCGUUGUAUGAGAAAUCAAAGUCUUUAGGUUCUGGGGGGAGUAUGGUUGCAAAGCUGAAACUUAAAGGAAUUGACGGAAGAGCACAACCAGGAGUGGAUUCUGCGGCUUAAUUUGACUCAACACGGGGAAACUUACCAGGUUAAAACAAUAGUGGGAUUGACAGUUUGAGAGCGCUUUCUUGAUUGGUUGGGUGGUGGUGCAUGGCCGUUCUUAGUUGGUGGAGUGAUUUGUCUGCUUAAUUGCGUUAACGAACGAGACCUUAACCUGCUUACUAGACUGGCGAUCAUCAAUCGUUAGCUCUUCUUAGAGGGACUUUGGUUGUUUUAACUCCAAGGAAGUUUGAGGCAAUAACUGGUCUGUGAUGCCCUUAGAUAUCCUGGGCCGCACGCGUCAUACAAUGACUAGUUCAGAAAGUUUUCUCCUGACCCGAAAGGGGAUGGGUAAUCUUGAUAAUACUAGUCGUGUUAGGGAUCGAUCUUUGCAAUUAUAGAUCUUGAACGAGGAAUUCCUAGUAAGUGCGGUUCAUCAGACCGUACUGAUUACGUCCCUGCUCUUUGUACACACCGCCCGUCGCUUCUACCGAGUGGGUGGUCCGGUGAGAUAAUUGAACUUCGCAGGUAACUGAGAGGAAAGAUUAUCAAACCUAUCCACCUCGAGGAAGAAGAAGUCGUAACAAGGUU
rnacentral:rRNA from 1 species